GAAUUAAGAAUUCUUAAGCUUCUAACUUAAUAUAUAGCAUAAAUUUGUUAUUAAUUCU
rnacentral:tRNA from 1 species